rnacentral:tRNA from 1 species
AGCCUUGUGGUGUAUUUCAUGUUGGAUUGCAAACCCAAAGACGCAGGUUAACUCCUGCCGGGGCUU